UCAACACUCUCUUUCAAAUUUUGAACACAGACGUCUCUCUCUCUCUACAUUACUCUCUUCAUCUUCUCUAUUUCUCUAUUCCUCUGAACCGCCCUAAGCCCCAACAAACCCAUCUCAAUCCCUCUCUUUACAUUACUCUCUUCAUCCAUUCCUUUGAAUUGCCCUAACAAACCCAUCUCAAUCCCUCUGAACCGCCCCAAAAUUCUUUAACUUCACCGCUGGCCGAAUCCAAGCUCUACAACUGGCGUGGCUCCGACACAGAGGUAAAGAAUUUCUCUCCAUCAUCCGAAGACCAGAGUCAGAUGUGCGAACCCUCCUCCAAAUCCACAGAGAGUGGUAUAAUAUCUCCAAGUAAAUUGAGGAUGAGCUAAUAGGGCAGCUGCUCAGCAUCAGAGAGAAAGAUGGAUCAAAUAGUAACUCAGCAAGAACAUCUCCUUCCAAGCUUGAGGAUUCUGAGUUUGUCAACAACAGUUUGUUAGCCACCAUGACUGCAGGAGACUUUGAUGACCAUGGUGAUUUGAUCGGAACCGAAUUGGUCCUCAAAAUUGUUCCGAACUAGAGGAAGUUAAUGGCGGCAACUUUGUACUCUAAUCUAAUUGCUGUUCUUCUGAUCAGUGAGGUUCGCCGCCACUUUUCGAAUUAGGGUUUCGAUGCUCAAGAUUUAGGGUUUUCCUAUGAUCACUGUAUGUAGUCAGUUCAACAAGUUGGUAUUUGAUUGUGAAUAAAACCCUUGUGAUCAAAUUCGAAAAUACUUUUUGAGUUGAUCGAUUCGCAAUUUCUGUUGUCGGUGCAAGUUUCUUUAAUUGAAUGAACAGACUCUAAUAUUUAUUGGGUUUGUCCAAUUAUGUAAUCAAAGCGAAUUGGAUGUUUUUUUAUUUGGUAGAGUGUUAAUUUAUCGAGAUUUUUAUCGAAUUUGGGAGUUGAUUGUUUGGUAAAGUCGAAGCUGUUUGGUUGCUAGGAAAGUUUAUUUGAGAGGUUGUUAGAUCAUGGAUCAUGUUAUUGGUGGAAAGUUUAAGGUUGGGAGGAAAAUUGGGAGUGGGUCUUUUGGAGAGCUCUAUUUAGGUAAAUGCCCGUUUUAGUUUAAUUUCAUCUUUUGUGUUUCAUAGUGAUAAUAUUCUUCAGCAUUGUGUCUGUUAGU